rnacentral:piRNA from 1 species
UGGAAUUAAUCAGAGCUGAUAAAUGUAUG